rnacentral:ribozyme from 1 species
GGGAGAAAGAUCAGAAAGAGGAGAAGAAAGGGAUCAGCAGAUCCUUGUUAUAAUUUGUAGUUAUUUGUUUUUGUUGUUUUUGUUGUUGUU